GACAAGGCUUGCAGACAUCGAAACUAA
rnacentral:piRNA from 1 species